rnacentral:rRNA from 1 species
AUUGAACGCUGGCGGCAUGCCUUACACAUGCAAGUCGAACGGCAGCAUAGGAGCUUGCUCCUGAUGGCGAGUGGCGAACGGGUGAGUAAUAUAUCGGAACGUGCCCUAGAGUGGGGGAUAACUAGUCGAAAGAUUAGCUAAUACCGCAUAUGAUCCACGGAUGCAAGUGGGGGAUCGCAAGACCUCAUGCUCCUGGAGCGGCCGAUAUCUGAUUAGCUAGUUGGUGAGGUAAAAGCUCACCAAGGCGACGAUCAGUAGCUGGUAUGAGAGGACGACCAGCCACACUGGGACUGAGACACGGCCCAGACUCCUACGGGAGGCAGCAGUGGGGAAUUUUGGACAAUGGGGGCAACCCUGAUCCAGCAAUGCCGCGUGAGUGAAGAAGGCCUUCGGGUUGUAAAGCUCUUUUGGCAGGGAAGAAACGGUUCUGGCUAAUAUCCAGAGCUAAUGACGGUACCUGAAGAAUAAGCACCGGCUAACUACGUGCCAGCCGCCGCCGUAA